UCUGAGUAAACAAUUUGAUGAUCAUAAACUUGUUGUAAUCAUUUGUCUUGAAUAAUUGCAUGCAGUACAAUCUUGGAGUAAUACUGAAAUUUAACACUGAAACUGAACAGUGAAAGAUGAACACUGAGUAGAACAUGUACUAUCAAUACAGGUUUGGACCGGUACUGUCAAUAGAAAAGAUGAACAAGUACUGUCAAUUUAGAACAGGUUUGGACCGGUACUGUCAAUAGAAAAGAUGAACAAGUACUGUCAAUUUAGAACAGGUUUGGACUUAGUUUCAUCAGUACUCCAAAUCAGUAGGAGUAUGAAUUAACGGGCAGAAAUAAUUGCUACUCUCAUUUAAGGUAAAAUUGAGUAGGAAUAGGAGUAGGAAUAUCAGGAGCAUGAAUAUCAGGAAGGAGUACAUCAUGGCCUUUGAAAAUUUUACCCCAGCCUUACUUUGAACUCGAUCUCAUUUCUGUACUUCAUUAUUCCCAUAAGAGGGUCACUUUCACCUGUAACUUGACAUGAUCAAGUAAACUGUGCACAUGUCUAUUUUUAUUUGAAUCUUCAGAAUGUCCAAAAUUUUAAACACUAUGGUAUGACUGAACAAUCUAAACUGUUUGACAUAAUUUGAUGUAAAUAAAAUACUCCAGCCAUUCUUAGUAUGCAAAUCUGCAGUUAGUGCUUCGAAAAAACACUAUGGGAAAUGACUUGAAUGGAGAAAUGUUGAGAUACCAACCUGCUAGCUGAAAAGUGCAGCAUGCCGGCAUGAGAAUGACUGAUACCCUCACACAUCUUUUUUCAUUAGCCCUUCUUUAAAACAAUCUGAUGGAAAAAAACAUUCAAGGUCACAAAUCAUAUUAUUGUAGGGCUCAUAUUUACUGUAGAAGAGAGAAGAGAAAAGAAGAGAUCAAGAAUAUGGAGGGCACAAGAGGAGUAUACUACAGUAGCUCUCCUCUUGUUGCAAGUCCUACACUAAAGUACUAAAACUACUGCUUGCAAGUCCUAACAUAACAGCAGCAAUCAUCAUCAGUGCUCCAAGUAUCCAAGAUGGAGUAAUUAACAGAAAAUGCAAGAUAACCUAACAGAGCAAGAUGGAGUAAUCCAAGAAAAUUAAUUGAAAAUUGCUGAGUAGUGUUGUGUGCAAGUGCAAGUACUCAAAAUUUGUUUGAGUAGCAAAUCUUGGAGUACGAGAGGACUCCAAGUUAAAUGUACUCAAAGCAAAUUAAGCAAAUGUACUGCCAUUAGUUUUCAUUCCAUUCUGAAAACUACUCCUGUUCACAAAUUAAGCAAAUCUUGGAGUAUUGAAGUACUCCAAGUUAAAUGUACUCCAAGCAAAUUAAGCAAAUGUACUCCAAGAAAAUUAAGCAACUGAACUGGAGAAGAAAUAAAUUCUGAAUAUGUUCCAGUCACAAAAGAACUUGGCAAGUUGUUUUUAUUCCAUUCUGAAUAUGUUCCAGUCACAAAAGAACUUGGCAAGUUGUUUUUAUUCCAUUAUGAAUAUAUGUUCCUGACACAAAAGAGUUGGCAAUUAGGCGCCCAAUUAACUUGGUGAUGCAUGCUAAACUUAAGAACCAUCAUCACUUGGUACACACACCAGUUCAGAUUACACAUGAUAAUUAAUUAGGCGCGGUAACUAAUUAACCCCAGCAGCUACCUUAGUUAGGUGCAGUAAAAACUCCUACUGCUACUGCAUCUUUACCAACCAAAUUCAGUGACAGAGCUACUCCAUUUUACUCAAAUUCAGUAUGCAAAAUUAACAGUAAUCCAUACAGCUGCUUCAUACUCCAAAUUGCUACUCCAAAUUCAGUAUACAAAAUUCAGUAUGCUGCUACUCCAAAUUCAGUUUGCAAAUUAACAGUAACAGUACUUCAAUGGAGUACAGUUGCUACUCCAAAUUAACAGUGGGUCCUUGCUAAGCAUAUUGUUCUCAAAUUAACAGUAGAACUCAAAUUAGCAGCAGCAUUCGUAGGUGACAACACAAAACAGCAGCAACAUUCGUACGAGUAGAAAAUGAACACGUACUG